AGCUUUGUGCAGUGGCAGUAUCAUAGCCAAUGAGGUUUAUCUGAGGUGUGAUUAUUACCAAUUGAAAACUUAUAUAUUCUAA
rnacentral:snRNA from 1 species